rnacentral:rRNA from 1 species
UGCAGUCGAGCGGUACAGGGGUAGCUUGCUACCCGCUGACGAGCGGCGGACGGGUGAGUAAUGCAUAGGAAUCUGCCCGAUAGUGGGGGAUAACCUGGGGAAACCCAGGCUAAUACCGCAUACGUCCUACGGGAGAAAGGGGGCUCCGGCUCCCGCUAUUGGAUGAGCCUAUGUCGGAUUAGCUAGUUGGUGAGGUAAUGGCUCACCAAGGCAACGAUCCGUAGCUGGUCUGAGAGGAUGAUCAGCCACAUCGGGACUGAGACACGGCCCGAACUCCUACGGGAGGCAGCAGUGGGGAAUAUUGGACAAUGGGCGAAAGCCUGAUCCAGCCAUGCCGCGUGUGUGAAGAAGGCCCUCGGGUUGUAAAGCACUUUCAGCGAGGAAGAACGCCUAGUGGUUAAUACCCAUUAGGAAAGACAUCACUCGCAGAAGAAGCACCGGCUAACUCCGUGCCAGCAGCCGCGGUAAUACGGAGGGUGCAAGCGUUAAUCGGAAUUACUGGGCGUAAAGCGCGCGUAGGUGGCUUGAUAAGCCGGUUGUGAAAGCCCCGGGCUCAACCUGGGAACGGCAUCCGGAACUGUCAAGCUAGAGUGCAGGAGAGGAAGGUAGAAUUCCCGGUGUAGCGGUGAAAUGCGUAGAGAUCGGGAGGAAUACCAGUGGCGAAGGCGGCCUUCUGGACUGACACUGACACUGAGGUGCGAAAGCGUGGGUAGCAAACAGGAUUAGAUACCCUGGUAGUCCACGCCGUAAACGAUGUCGACCAGCCGUUGGGUGCCUAGCGCACUUUGUGGCGAAGUUAACGCGAUAAGUCGACCGCCUGGGGGAGUACGGGCCGCAAGGUUAAAACUCAAAUGAAUUGACGGGGGGCCCGCACAAACGGGUGGAGCAUGUGGGUUUAAUUCCGAUGCAACGCCGAAAAAACCUUUACCUACUCUUUGACAUCCUUGCGAACUUUGUGAAAAGAUCACUUUGGUUGCCUUCCGGGAACGCAAAAGACAGGGUGCUUGCAUUGGCUUGUCCGUCAAGCUCCG